rnacentral:rRNA from 1 species
CAGCCGCCGCGGUAACACGUAGGUGGCAAGCGUUGUCCGGAAUUAUUGGGCGUAAAGCGCGCGCAGGCGGAUAGGUCAGUCUGUCUUAAAAGUUCGGGGCUUAACCCCGUGAUGGGAUGGAAACUGCCAAUCUAGAGUAUCGGAGAGGAAAGUGGAAUUCCUAGUGUAGCGGUGAAAUGCGUAGAUAUUAGGAAGAACACCAGUGGCGAAGGCGACUUUCUGGACGAAAACUGACGCUGAGGCGCGAAAGCCAGGGGAGCGAACGGGAUUAGAUACCCGUGUAGUCCCUGUCUCUUAUACA